rnacentral:ncRNA from 2 species
AAACAAACUUAGGGGAGCCUUACCGGCUGAGAGGAUGAAAUAGUUCAUCGACCCUUGAACCUGAUACGGUUAGUACCGUUGGAGGAAAAGCAUGCUUAGAAAAA